AGAUUGAACGCUGGCGGCAUGCUUUACACAUGCAAGUCGAACGGCAGCACGGGGGCAACCCUAGUGGCGAGUGGCGAACGGGUGAGUAAUACAUAGGAACGUAUCCUGAAAUGGGGGGAUAGCUCGGCGAAAGCCGGAUUAAUACCGCAUACGAUCCACGGAUGAAAGCAGGGGAUUCGCAAGAACCUUGCGUUUCUGGAGCGGCCUAUGUCUGAUUAGCGUAGGUUGGGCGGGUAAUACGCCCACCGAACGGCGACGAUCAGUAGCUGGUCUGAGAGGAUGAUCAGCCACACGUGGACUGAGACC
rnacentral:rRNA from 1 species